UGGAUUUCUGCUGCGUUCCGGAACCCUAGUCAGGAAGCCCCCCUCAUCGUAUUUCCUCCUUUUGCAGACCUGUAAGGAUUGUGCUCAUGUGGGUUGAAGAGCGGGCCUAAUAAGUUUCAGGUUCCAGAUACGGAACAGCUUGGCUGUUCUUUGUCUUUGGAGUAGCAAUAGGGACCGGUUCUAAAAGGUACAGAUGUGGACUGUGUGAAGUGUGUGGUUAAUUGACGUAUGCUCGGAGUAACAUUGUUGGGUAUAGGAUAAUCAGCUGUUCCUUUUUUUAAUUGCUAGAUUCCUUUGGAGAAUUCUGGAAGAAGCACGUUUCUAUUUUCAAGUCAAAUUAUUCACUGAUAAGUUUCAGGUGAGAAAUGGGUAAGGAACAACUUGACAUUUAGUCCAUGAAGAAGAUGCAGGCAUGGUAACAGUCUACAGGUUACCUUGCAGAAGGAACGUGGCUUGAGAAAGCUAAUGUGAAAUCAAUGCUAAACUUUGUUAACUACUGCCAUUAAGACUCGUAGACCAAAAGCAUUUUUUUUCUAGUUCAUCUCUAAAUCAAUUACCAAGAUACUUUCAGGUAAGGUAGUCAUUCAAAGAUGACAUAAUGUGAUGUGUAAUUUGGUAAUUAUUGCACCAAG
rnacentral:lncRNA from 1 species